ACAGAGACUGCAAGCGUUAUUCGGAUUCACUGGGCGUAAAGGGUGCGCAGGCGGCCGUGUGUGUUAGAUGUGAAAUCCCGGGGCUCAACCCCGGAACUGCGUCUAAAACUACAUGGCUAGAGUAUUGGAGAGGGUAGCGGAAUUCACGGUGUAGCAGUGAAAUGCGUAGAUAUCGUGAGGAACACCAGAGGCGAAGGCGGCUACCUGGACAAUUACUGACGCUCAGGCACGAAAGCGUGGGGAGCAAACAGGA
rnacentral:rRNA from 1 species